AUGCAAGACAACAUUAGGCCUAUUAGUAUACAAAGAGCUUUGCAGAAGACAAGUUAUAUCUCGAAAAUUUCUACCCAAUCCCUUCAUACAAAGAAAGACCUUAAAGAAAGCAUGAUGUAUAAGGGUACCAUCAGUUUUGCAGAAAACAUAAGUGUAUGUACUACCAAGAGCUUGAGGAAAAAACAUUUAGGGAAACCGGCUAAGAGCAGGACCCUUAACCUAGUAUCUCUGUUAGUUAAGUGGUAUAAAUUAGAGUUUCUGAAGAAAUUUGUCGACCAAAGAGGGGGGCCACGGAUACCUUUGGCAUCAAGGGAGCUCUGCCCGUGGUACGAACCUGUUGUUGACAUUUGGAUAACUAGUCUGCACGUGUACUGA
rnacentral:rRNA from 1 species